rnacentral:rRNA from 1 species
UACAGAGGUGGCAAGCGUUGUUCGGAAUUACUGGGCGUAAAGGGCGCGUAGGCGGCCAUCUAAGUCAGACGUGAAAUCCCCGGCUUAACCUGGGAACUGCGUCUGAUACUGGACGGCUUGAGUAUGGGAGAGGGAUGUAGAAUUCCAGGUGUAGCGGUGAAAUGCGUAGAUAUCUGGAGGAAUACCGGUGGCGAAGGCGGCAUCCUGGACCU